rnacentral:rRNA from 3 species
AGACCCGAAACCCGGUGAUCUAGCCAUGGGCAGGUUGAAGGUUGGGUAACACUAACUGGAGGACCGAACCGACUAAUGUUGAAAAAUUAGCGGAUGACCUGUGGCUGGGGGUGAAAGGCCAAUCAAACCGGGAGAUAGCUGGUUCUCCCCGAAAGCUAUUUAGGUAGCGCCUCGUGAAUUCAUCUCCGGGGGUAGAGCACUGUUUCGGCUAGGGGGCCAUCCCGGCUUACCAACCCGAUGCAAACUGCGAAUACCGGAGAAUGUUAUCACGGGAGACACACGGCGGGUGCUAACGUCCGUCGUGAAGAGGGAAACAACCCAGACCGCCAGCUAAGGUCCCAAAGUCAUGGUUAAGUGGGAAACGAUGUGGGAAGGCCCAGACAGCCAGGAUGUUGGCUUAGAAGCAGCCAUCAUUUAAAGAAAGCGUAAUAGCUCACUGGUCGAGUCGGCCUGCGCGGAAGAUGUAACGGGGCUAAACCAUGCACCGAAGCUGCGGCAGCGAACGUAUCACCCAAGACAACUUUACGGAGUUGACGAUUGACGGAGCGAAGCGACGUCAAAGCGUUCAUUAAAGUCGAGUUGGCUUAGGGAUACGUUCGUUGGGUAGGGGAGCGUUCUGUAAGCCUGUGAAGGUGUGUCGUGAGGCAUGCUGGAGGUAUCAGAAGUGCGAAUGCUGACAUAAGUAACGAUAAAGCGGGUGAAAAGCCCGCUCGCCGGAAGACCAAGGGUUCCUGUCCAACGUUAAUCGGGGCAGGGUGAGUCGACCCCUAAGGCGAGGCCGAAAGGCGUAGUCGAUGGGAAACGGGUUAAUAUUCCCGUACUUGGUGUUACUGCGAAGGGGGGACGGAGAAGGCUAUGUUGGCCGGGCGACGGUUGUCCCGGUUUAAGCGUGUAGGUGUGUGUUCCAGGUAAAUCCGGUUCACUUUAACACUGAGGCGUGAUGACGAGGCACUACGGUGCUGAAGCAACAAAUGCCCUGCUUCCAGGAAAAGCCUCUAAGCAUCAGGUAACAUCAAAUCGUACCCCAAACCGACACAGGUGGUCAGGUAGAGAAUACCAAGGCGCUUGAGAGAACUCGGGUGAAGGAACUAGGCAAAAUGGUGCCGUA